GCUUAAGUGAAUAAUGGCAAAACACUGAAUCUGUUUGGGUGUUAACAUUAAAUGGUGCUACAAAUGGUGUUUUUAAUAGCUGAAAAAUCAAUGCCUUCUAUCAUCUAGCCAGUGUGGUCGAGGGCCCUGGAGGCACUGGGGUACCUCUGAUUUUACAUUUCUAUCUUAAUUAUUCAGCUUAGUUUUUAAAAUGUGGACAUUUCAAAGGCCUCUGGAUUGUAGUUAUCCACCGAUGUCCUUGUAGGACUAUAAUGUAUAGAUAUGCACACUUACACAUGUGUACUGAAAUAUUUUAAGUUGUGUCUUAGAAAAGCACUUUGCCUACCUAAGCUUUGGCAACUUGGGCAAUGCUAAGGUACUAAAACAUAAAAACAAAACAAAAAAAAGUUUACUUUCAUUUAGGAUUAAAAGUGGUUUUGUUUUGUUUCCUUUUAAGGAAACAUUUGCUUUGCUCUUAGCCACUAUCGGCUGAUGAGCAGUAUCAGGCCUGUUACAAUCCAAACCGAAGCUGAAUGGAUAUGCUAGUCCACAGAAAACAAAUAACAGUUUUUGGUGCUCACCUUACUUGCUAUCCUGUAAAACGGUGGUAGGGCAAGCUCAUCCCUCCUGCGUAUACAGCUUAAGAACGUCUGUUAAUUGCAGGUGAUAAUUAGCCUUGGUGCUGCAGACAGAGCAAAGCUUGCCCACUUAAGUCCAUGUUGUCCCACACACAGACCUGUAUGUUCUUCAGAACAGCAGGCUGCCUUUGUGUUCAUUACAUGCUUUGUGGUGUCUUUUCUUAGCUAAGUGUUAUAUAUACCAGGAAGGUUGAGUGGACUGAAACCCGCAGAAGUUGAGAAGACAUGGUUAAGUCCAUAGGACUCUACUGGUUACAGAGCAACCAACAAAAACCGAAAGAGAAUAGGCAGCUGGUUUAUGGUGAUUUUAAACAUUAAUUUGUAUUAAAAGGUAAAAAAGAGUUGUAUAGUAAAUUAAAUUGUAAAACAACCUUUUUUAAUGCAAUGCUUUAGUAUUUUAGUACUGUAAAAAAUUAAAUAUAUACAUAUGUGUAUAUAUAUAUUAUAUAUAUAUAUAUAAUAUAUGAGAUUGAAGAAAAAUUCACAUCACGAUGGUGCUACCCAGAUUGCUCCACAUAGAUCUUAAUGUGAGCUAAGAAUCCAUUCAAAGUUGGAGUGGUGUUCCUACUUGUCGUCAUACCUCAACACUAGCUAGGCAAUGGGAUACUGAGCUAACAGUGGAGGCUUAGAGCAUUGUAGACCACCAUUUUUCUUUUUUUUUUUUUUUUUAAAUCUUUGUAUUAAGACAUACCAUUUUUAAAUACUUGAUUUCUUAGCAAGUAUAACUUGAAUCUCAAACUUUUUGUUCUAAAAAUUCAGGGAUAUUUCAGCUCAUUCUCCUUAUGCUAACAUGUCAUCUGUUUAUGCAAAGUUGUCGGUUAAUAUAUUCGCUUUCAGAGGAUUGCAAUCCCUCGUAGUUUGCUUGUAUAUGUACUGAUAACUGAAAACUAAUUUUAUAAAUUUUGUCACCUUUCAAUUGUAAAUUUUGGAGAGUUGGCAUUCAGCAGAGUAAAAAGUGUAAAAUAGGAAGCCCUGAGCUGGCAGAGGGAGAUGGGGGGUACAAGACAUCGCCGGUAAUGGCUUCUGAUCUAGUGACGAGGACAGCUUUGGACUGCAGCUGGACAGUCCUAGAAGCUGGUGGUGUGCUGUGCAAUAGGACUGUUGUUACAUUGUGGCCUAAAUACAGUGUUGCUUACUAGCUUUGCAAAUAGCUUUGCGUCAGUGGAGACCUUUGUAAUUUACCAUCAGUCACAUUUGUCACUAAAAACUUUCAGAAUGUCUGCCUUGCACACACACACACACACACACACAC
rnacentral:lncRNA from 1 species